rnacentral:rRNA from 1 species
CCUACGGGGGGCAGCAGUGGGGAAUAUUGCACAAUGGGGGAAACUCUGAUGCAGCGACGCCGCGUGAGUGAAGAAGUAUCUCGGUACGUAAAGCUCUAUCAGCAGGGAAGAAAAUGACGGUACCUGACUAAGAAGCCCCGGCUAACUACGUGCCAGCAGCCGCGGUAAUACGUAGGGGGCAAGCGUUAUCCGGAUUUACUGGGUGUAAAGGGAGCGUAGACGGCAGAACAAGUCUGGAGUGAAAUCCCGAGGCUUAACCGCGGAACUGCUUUGGAAACUGGGCGGCUGGAGUGCAGGAGAGGUAAGUGGAAUUCGUAGUGUAGCAGUGAAAUGCGUAGAUAGCGGGAGGAACACUAGUGGCGAAGGCGGGUUCCUGGACAUUAACUGACGCUGAGGCACGAAGGCCAGGGGAGCGAAAAGGAUUAGAUACCCCAGUAGUC